rnacentral:lncRNA from 1 species
UAGCUUUUGAGAUGGGUUUUAUUCAUACAUUUGACUUAUGACUUGACUUUAUUUCAUACAUUCAGCCACACCAUGCAAUGCUUGGCAAAAGCAAAAAAAAGAGCCAUAAAAUCAGUUACUUCACUCUCCUGCCCCCUAAACCUAGAGCUUCAAGAAUGGAAACCCUUUAAAGGUUUCUAGCAAGGAUGAAACAAAUGCCAAGUGAAAAUUAAGUGGAUGGUGGGAAGAGAGCAUAAAUAAUGAAAGAUGCAAUGAAUCAGAGUCCUUAAGUAAUCAAAAUACUUGAGCCAUAAAGGUAUCAAAAAGAAAUAAGGUUGGUCCAUACCUCAGGACUACGUGUCUCACAAUUACAUUCCUUUCAAGAAAGAGUGUUCUGCACAAAUAUCUCUGCAGAAUUGUUAUACUUUCAGUAUAUGCCAUGGUCCCAUAUUGUCUUCUAGAGUCAAAAACUAAUUAGGUGUUAACAUUUUCAGAGUGGUGUUGUGGGUUAGAAGGCUUAGUUAAGUAAUUGCUGGGCUCCAGUGUGUUUUCUUACAUUGCUUUCAUCUAGUCUUCCGCCUCUCUUUGCUUCCUCAAGGCUAAUGCAUGGACUAUUAAAAAUAUAACAAGUCUCAAAUUCAGAGGAGUCUAUCUUUGCUAACACUAUAGCAGGCAAAUGUGCAGGGGAAAUAAACUGCACCAUCAGCUUAGUAUUUAACUCAGAAAAUCCACCUUCCUAGAUAUUAAUUUUCAUCCAAAAGCUUUGUGAGCCUGCAGCAGUAUUAAAAUAUGUAUUUCUUCCAAUCUACUUGAAAUGAAACCCUUUGCUUUUGCCCUCUAGCAGCUAUUAUAAAGUCCUUAUCUCCUGGAUCACAUUAAUUUUGCCUAUAAUAGCCACCUUCUUUUACUACGUUUGGGCAAGUAUUUACAUCAGCCCCAAAUUUGAGUCCGAUAAGCCUAGCAGUGAAGAGCUACCUGCGCUUUUCCCUCCAAAUUAGAUGCUAGGCAAGUUCCAUCCAGACAAUUAUUGUCUUUGCUUUGGCCAGUAAGUCCCAUUGGUCCUGGGUUUUAGUUAUGCUGAGUACUUCAACUUUAGUGCAAUACUGUAUUAUGUGUGAUUGAAGCUUUGAAGGCAGCAUUACAACUGUCUAGGAGGCCUGCAGAGCUCUUCCUGAGGGCACGAACAGCCUGACCCAGCCUGCUGCAGACAUACUCCCUUCUCAACUGCUCCCAGCCC